GCAACCCGCCUGCAUGAAGUCGGAAUUGCUAGUAAUCGCGGAUCAGCAUGCCGCGGUGAAUACGUUCCCGGGCCUUGUACACACCGCCCGUCACACCAUGGGAGUCGGUAACACCCGAAGCCAGUAGCCCAACCGCAAGGAGGACGCUGUCGAAGGUGGGAUUGAUAACUGGGGUGAAGUCGUAACAAGGUAUC
rnacentral:rRNA from 1 species